rnacentral:rRNA from 1 species
GACGAACGCUGGCGGCGUGCUUAACACAUGCAAGUCGAACGGAAAGGCCCUGCUUUUGUGGGGUGCUCGAGUGGCGAACGGGUGAGUAACACGUGAGUAACCUGCCCUUGACUUUGGGAUAACUUCAGGAAACUGGGGCUAAUACCGGAUAGGAGCUCCUGCUGCAUGGUGGGGGGUGGAAAGUUUCGGCGGUUGGGGAUGGACUCGGGGCUUAUCAGCUUGUUGGUGGGGUAGUGGCUUACCAAGGCUUUGACGGGUAGCCGGCCUGAGAGGGUGACCGGCCACAUUGGGACUGAGGUACGGCCCAGACUCCUACGGGAGGCAGCAGUGGGGAAUAUUGCACAAUGGGCGGAAGCCUGAUGCAGCAACGCCGCGUGCGGGAUGACGGCCUUCGGGUUGUAAACCGCUUUCGCCUGUGACGAAGCGUGAGUGACGGUAAUGUGUAAAGAAGCACCGGCUAACUACGUG